rnacentral:rRNA from 1 species
GAAUGCUGACAUAAGUAACGAUAAAGCGGGUGAAAAGCCCGCUCGCCGGAAGACCAAGGGUUCCUGUCCAACGUUAAUCGGGGCAGGGUGAGUCGACCCCUAAGGCGAGGCCGAAAGGCGUAGUCGAUGGGAAACGGGUUAAUAUUCCCGUACUUGGUGUUACUGCGAAGGGGGGACGGAGAAGGCUAUGUUGGCCGGGCGACGGUUGUCCCGGUUUAAGCGUGUAGGUGUGUGUUCCAGGUAAAUCCGGUUCACUUUAACACUGAGGCGUGAUGACGAGGCACUACGGUGCUGAAGUAACAAAUGCCCUGCUUCCAGGAAAAGCCUCUAAGCAUCAGGUAACAUCAAAUCGUACCCCAAACCGACACAGGUGGUCAGGUAGAGAAUACCAAGGCGCUUGAGAGAACUCGGGUGAAGGAACUAGGCAAAAUGGUGCCGUAACUUCGGGAGAAGGCACGCUGACACGUAGGUGAAGUGAUUUACUCACGGAGCUGAAGUCAGUCGAAGAUACCAGCUGGCUGCAACUGUUUAUUAAA